UUUUAUGGCGAGCUAUGCGGGCAACCUUCGGGUUGGCCGGUUUUCCUUGUGUCCGGUAUUGUGACCCCGCAUAGCCCGCCUCCCUA
rnacentral:antisense_RNA from 1 species